rnacentral:rRNA from 1 species
GACAGAGGGUGCAAACGUUGUUCGGAAUUACUGGGCGUAAAGCGCGUGUAGGCAGCUCGGAAAGUCGGGUGUGAAAGCCCUGGGCUUAACCUAGGAAGUGCACUCGAAACUUCCGAGCUUGAGUUCUGGAGAGGAAGGCGGAAUUCUCGGUGUAGAGGUGAAAUUCGUAGAUAUCGAGAGGAACACCGGUGGCGAAGGCGGCCUUCUGGACAGUGACUGACGCUGAGACGCGAAUGCGUGGGGAGCAAACAGG